UCAGACUAAAAAUAGUCCCUUGUAUCCAAGCACCCUCUUAUCCCGCUGACAAGCAUUGGAGACCGCGUCCUCUUUCUCCAAGGGAAGUGCCUGAGUGUCUCCUCCACGGCGCUGCCCACUGUCAUGUCUGAAACUGUUGUCUAUACCCAUCCGAUGUACUAUCAUUAUGCACAAUACCACCUCAGGACCGGUGCUUGGUCUCAACCAAUCGACACCUGCGGUCUAGAUGGCUUUAACCCGGGUCCUCGUAGCCUCAUCCACCAUGUCAUUACUUGCUGCAUUCGCAAUGUCUGGAACAAAGGGCUAUUAUAUUCGAAAAGGCUAGAAAAUAGGCUUCCAACGCUUCUUUGGAAGGUGAAGAGAAAGCUUCGUUAUUGGUCAUGAAAAGGCCCUUGUGACCAGAAGCUGGUGGAUGCAUGGAUUCCCUUGGCGCCAAGAAGGGGGACUUGUUACACUCGUACCUCCUCGUCGUCUCCUUGUUGCUAGAACUUUUCUCAUGACACCUAUUGUGACGAUACUGUAGCUCCGACAAAUUUAAAUAUGCUUACCUUCUGCUUUUCAGCAAUCAUG